rnacentral:rRNA from 1 species
AACGAACGCUGGCGGCAUGCCUAACACAUGCAAGUCGAACGAGAUCUUCGGGUCUAGUGGCGCACGGGUGCGUAACGCGUGGGAAUCUGCCCUUUGGUUCGGAAUAACAGUUGGAAACGACUGCUAAUACCGGAUGAUGACGCAAGUCCAAAGAUUUAUCGCCAGAGGAUUAGCCCGCGUAGGAUUAGCUAGGUGGUGUGGUAAAGGAGCACCAAGGCGACGAUCCUUAGCUGGUCUGAGAGGAUGAUCAGCCACACUGGGACUGAGACACGGACCAGACUCCUACGGGAGGCAGCAGUGGGGAAUAUUGGACAAUGGGCGAAAGCCUGAUCCAGCAAUGCCGCGUGAGUGAUGAAGGCCUUAGGGUUGUAAAGCUCUUUUACCCGGGAUGAUAAUGACAGUACCGGGAGAAUAAGCUCCGGCUAACUCCGUGCCAGCCGCCGCAGUAA